CACGUAGGGGGCAAGCGUUGUCCGGAUUUAUUGGGCGUAAAGAGCGCGCAGGCGGCUGGUCAAGUCCGAUGUGAAAGCUCCCGGCUUAACUGGGAAAUUGCAUCGGAAACUGUUCGGCUCGAGUCCGGGAGAGGGUAGUGGAAUUCCCAGUGUAGCGGUGAAAUGCGUAGAUAUUGGGAGGAACACCGGUGGCGAAGGCGGCUACCUGGACCGGUACUGACGCUGAGGCGCGAAAGCUAGGGUAGCAAACAGG
rnacentral:rRNA from 1 species